rnacentral:lncRNA from 1 species
UUGAUGUGGAUGAACAUUGAAUGAUCCAUUAGCCCUCGUAUGUUAUGAUAUGAUAUGAUGAUGAUAUGGUAUGGAAGUCCAGGUGUGGCCUGCACUACGCCCCUGGCACAAUGUAAGAGAAAGUCCGGGUGUGGCCUGCACUACGCCCCCGGCACGAAUGGAUAUGUAUGUUAUGUUAUGUGUAAGAGAAAGACCAGGUGUGGCCUGCACUACGCCCCUGGCAUGAUUGGAUUGUGU